UAUGUUUGGGUGUAAGGAAGCACGUAAAGUUUUGAUCUUUAAGGGGAUGAAUGUAGGUUGUCAAACAUAA
rnacentral:tRNA from 1 species